CGGAAAGGCCCUUCGGGGUACUCGAGUGGCGAACGGGUGAGUAACACGUGGGUGAUCUGCCCUGCACUUUGGGAUAAGCCUGGGAAACUGGGUCUAAUACCGAAUAGGACCGCAUGCUUCAUGGUGUGUGGUGGAAAGCUUUUGCGGUGUGGGAUGGGCCCGCGGCCUAUCAGCUUGUUGGUGAGGUAAUGGCUUACCAAGGCGACGACGGGUAGCCGGCCUGAGAGGGUGACCGGCCACACUGGGACUGAGAUACGGCCCAGACUCCUACGGGAGGCAGCAGUGGGGAAUAUUGCACAAUGGGCGCAAGCCUGAUGCAGCGACGCCGCGUGAGGGAUGACGGCCUUCGGGUUGUAAACCUCUUUCGCCAGGGACGAAGCGCAAGUGACGGUACCUGGAGAAGAAGGACCGGCCAACUACGUGCCAGCAGCCGCGGUAAUACGUAGGGUCCGAGCGUUGUCCGGAAUUACUGGGCGUAAAGAGCUCGUAGGUGGUUUGUCGCGUUGUUCGUGAAAACUCACAGCUUAACUGUGGGCGUGCGGGCGAUACGGGCAGACUUGAGUACUGCAGGGGAGACUGGAAUUCCUGGUGUAGCGGUGGAAUGCGCAGAUAUCAGGAGGAACACCGGUGGCGAAGGCGGGUCUCUGGGCAGUAACUGACGCUGA
rnacentral:rRNA from 1 species